rnacentral:rRNA from 1 species
AUUGAACGCUGGCGGCAUGCCUUACACAUGCAAGUCGAACGGCAGCACGGGAGCUUGCUCCUGGUGGCGAGUGACGAACGGGUGAGUAGUACAUCGGAACGUACCCAGUAGUGGGGGAUAACGCACCGAAAGGUGCGCUAAUACCGCAUACGACCUACGGGUGAAAGCGGGGGAACGUAAGGCCUCGCGCUAUUGGAGCGGCCGCUGUCUGAUUAGCUAGUUGGCGGGGUAAAAGCCCACCAAGGCGACGAUCAGUAGCUGGUCUGAGAGGACGAUCAGCCACACUGGGACUGAGACACGGCCCAGACUCCUACGGGAGGCAGCAGUGGGGAAUUUUGGACAAUGGGGGCAACCCUGAUCCAGCAAUGCCGCGUGUGCGAAGAAGGCCUUCGGGUUGUAAAGCACUUUUGUCAGGGAAGAAAUCUUUCAGGCUAAUACCCUUGGAAGGAUGACGGUACCUGAAGAAUAAGCACCGGCUAACUACGUGCCAGCAGCCGCAGUAA